GACGAACGCUGGCGGCGUGCUUAACACAUGCAAGUCGAACGGAAAGGCCCUGCUUUUGUGGGGUGCUCGAGUGGCGAACGGGUGAGUAACAUGUGAGCAACCUGCCCUUGACUUUGGGAUAACUUCAGGAAACUGGGGCUACUACCGACUCGGUGCUCCUGCUGCAUGGUGGGGGUUGGAAAGUUUCGGCGGUAGGGGAUGGACACGCGGCUUAUCAGCUUGUUGGUGGAGUAGUGGCUUACCAAUGCUUUGACGGGUAGCCGGCCUGAGAGGGUGACCGGGGCCAUGAGGCCUACGGUACGGCCCAGAGUGGAAUGGGGGACAGCGGUGGCAAAUAUUGCACAACGAGCGCAAGCCUGAUGCAGAGACGCUGCGUGCGUGAUGACGGUCUGCGGGUAAAAAACCGCUGCCGCCUAUGACCACGCGUAAGUGACGGUACUGGGAGAAGAAGCACCGGCUAACUACGUG
rnacentral:rRNA from 1 species